GUUCCGAUCCGCUGCUAUUAGAG
rnacentral:piRNA from 1 species